rnacentral:rRNA from 1 species
CAUGUCCUUUUGAUAAUGAUUUAAGGUCUAAUCUGCUCAAUGAAUAUUAAAUUGCCGCAGUAUUAUGACUGUGCAAAGGUAGCAUAAUAAUUAGUUUCUUAAUUAGGAACUGGAAUGAAUGAUUGGACAAGAAAAUUUCUGUCUCUUUUUCAAUAAUUUUUGAAUUUUAUUUUUAAGUGAAAAAGCUUAAAUUUUUAUAAAAGACGAGAAGACCCUAUAGAGUUUAAUAUUUUUAUUUAAUUAAAUUUUAGAAUAUUUUUUUAAAAAAGAUUAUUUGGUUGGGGUGAUUAUAAGAUAUAAUAAAUUCUUUAAAUUUUUAAUUAGUGAUUUCUAAACUUAGAAUCUAUAUUUUGUAAAGUUAAAACAAAUUACCUUAGGGAUAACAGCGUUAUUUUUCUUAAAAGUUCUUAUUAAAAGAAAAGUUUGCGACCUCGAUGUUGGAUUAAAAUUAAUUUUUGGUGCAAUAACUUAAAAAUUGGGUCUGUUCGACCUUUAAAAUUUUACAUGAUCUGAGUUUAAACCGGUGUAAACCAGGUUGGAUUCUAUCUUUAGUUUACUUUUAUAUUUUAGUACGAAAGGACCAAAUAUAAGUUUUAAAAAUUG